AGGAAGAAGCUUGCUUCUUUGCUGACGAGUGGCGGACGGGUGAGUAAUGUCUGGGAAACUGCCUGAUGGAGGGGGAUAACUACUGGAAACGGUAGCUAAUACCGCAUAACGUCGCAAGACCAAAAAGGGGGACCUUCGGGCCUCUUGCCAUCGGAUGUGCCCAGAUGGGAUUAGCUAGUAGGUGGGGUAACGGCUCACCUAGGCGACGAUCCCUAGCUGGUCUGAGAGGAUGACCAGCCACACUGGAACUGAGACACGGUCCAGACUCCUACGGGAGGCAGCAGUGGGGAAUAUUGCACAAUGGGCGCAAGCCUGAUGCAGCCAUGCCGCGUGUAUGAAGAAGGCCUUCGGGUUGUAAAGUACUUUCAGCGGGGAGGAAGGGAGUAAAGUUAAUACCUUUGCUCAUUGACGUUACCCGCAGAAGAAGCACCGGCUAACUCCGUGCCAGCAGCCGCGGUAAUACGGAGGGUGCAAGCGUUAAUCGGAAUUACUGGGCGUAAAGCGCACGCAGGCGGUUUGUUAAGUCAGAUGUGAAAUCCCCGGGCUCAACCUGGGAACUGCAUCUGAUACUGGCAAGCUUGAGUCUCGUAGAGGGGGGUAGAAUUCCAGGUGUAGCGGUGAAAUGCGUAAAGAUCUGGAGGAAUACCGGUGGCGAAG
rnacentral:rRNA from 1 species